rnacentral:pre_miRNA from 1 species
CUGCAUUGUUGUUGCAUUGCAUCCUGCAGUGCCUUGUGGGUGCGAUGUAGUAACAGUGCUGCA